CCUUGGAAGCUGCUCAGUUCCUGUGGACUCUGCCUCCUUCCGGUCUGCUGCCCUGGUCCGGGCCCGGGCAGCUCCCUCGGCAUCUCCGGCAUGGACAGUAGUUUUCUAAUUGUCUCCCACUUCUUCUGCUGCAAAUCCCCGCACUCAGCCCUUCCUCCAGACUUCAAGCCCCACGGACUCAGGCUGUGCAUCCUAAGACCUCAGGAAGCCUUGUGGCGUCAUUUAACAAGCUGGAAUUCUGCACAGUGUGCAGAGUGAGCAGGGGUGGCUCCUGCGCAGGACGGCACCUCAGCCAGUUCCCAACACGCCAGCACGCUUACUUUCACAACUUUGCACACGUCUCUCUCAGCUGGAAACACCCCCUCCUCUGUUCCACCUGCUGACAACCCGGGCAUCCUGUGGCAUUCAGCUAAAACAUCCUGGCCCUGGGGAGGACCAGCUUGCCUGUCUUUAUCUCAGCAGCACUUAUGUGCUCUCCAGCCGUGGUCGUGUUUGAGACUGUGACGGGGAAAGAGACCCCCGAGGAAGCCUCGCCAGAGGAGCCCUGGACGAGACAGACCCCUGUUGUCAUCCAGCCCACCUCUACACACCACCUGUGAGGAAGGGCCCUGGCUGAGCUACACAUCUUAUCCAGGUUCUAAGUCAAGCGACUCUCCAACUUUCCGCCCAAUGCUGGGGGCACGAGCGAUCCCAGCAGCAGAGCCUCUGGCUCCUCAGCCACCACAGGCGAGUAGCACCUCCUUCAGGAUUUCGGGGCUCAGUCAUCUUGUAGGGAAGGUGCUGACUUGGGAAGGUGCAGGCCAGGAGUCAGCCUGUGGGGUGCCAGCCCCCUCCCUGCCGACCCUCUGGGGUGUACCGAUGGGCAGGGAGCAGGGGAUGGCUCUGGAGGGGCCAGGCAGCGGGGAAGGACGGCCUCUCUUCCCCUCCAGCUGUCAGCAGCAGGAGUGCCUGCGUGGCAGCUGCCGGGAAGUUUUGGAGAUGCAGGUCCUUAGUAAACCCUCAGGUCUCUGGAGAGAGUAAAAUCCAGGCCUUUCAGCAUAGGAUGCUCCAGCUAAUCUCACGGCCUAAUCCACUUAGAGCGCUGCUUUUAACUCCCAUUUGAAGGCCGGGAGCCCAGGCGGAGGCAGAUAAGCCCUCCCCACUUGGUAGGGGCUCAGCCACACUCCGAAGCUAACCUUGGCAAGGCUGUCCGGGGACAGAGCACGUCCUGAUGGGAUUCACUUCUUAGUCCUGGGGACCAAGCCCAGAGCACAGCUUCUCUGGGAGGCACGUCCCCGCGCUUUCUGCCCUUCCGUGGAAACCAGAGGGGCGCUCAGUUAUGGCCACUGCCAUCGCCCGGUCGGGAGCAGCCCAGAGACCUGGGACCAGCAGAAGAGAGGCCAUUGAGGGCACGGAACCUGCGGAACCACUGUGUGGAUGAGGAGAGCCACAGGCCUCUCAGGCUGACCGCGACCACGUGGUCAGAGGAAUAAUAAUCACACUCUGAAAAGAAACGGCUGGCUGGUUGGGGCUGCAAAGUUCUGGCAGAGGUUCAUUCAGACCCAGAGAGCAAGCCACCCUCUCCCGGGCCCUUCCCACAGGCGAGCGGAGCGCCUCUGAACCCGGCGCAGCCAAAAAACAAGUCAAUCAGCAACCGAAAAGAAAAUAAACCCCCAGGGCUCUGAUACCCAAAGACAAAACAGACCACGGCAGCGGGACCUUGACCCACAGGAAGCAGAGACGGCUCUGUAGGUCAUUUCCUCUUUGGUCCCACCUGACUUUUAAAUCCAUUUCCACUUUAAGAACUUGAGUAAUUUUAAGAAAGCGAAAUUACUAUUUCAGAUCCUUGAAGUCACCUUAGGGCAUGACCCUGCCUUCCCUUCCAAGGUCGCAGGUCCAGACAGCUCUUCUUUCCCUUCCUUUGUAAAAUACAGGCGUGUGUGCAGGAAGCCUGGGUGUCUCGCUCCAACCUUGAAAUCCAUAACCUCCGACUUUCCUCGGAACUCAGGUUGGUGCACUGGGUCACCCGUCACCCCGGGUGGCUUGGGCUCCACCGCGUGAAUGCGCCCUGCCAGGUCGGCUGCCUGAGCAGCGUGCGCCUGAGUGAGCCUCCGUCUGCCCGGCCUCAGUCUCUCCAUCCGGAGCAGCCUCUGGAGGGCACCCUCCUGAGCCACGCCACGCAGCCAGGAAGGUCUCCAGGUGCCAAACACACAGGCAAAGGACUCCUUUUCUUGUCUGAAGGACUCUGCAUGGGAGAAGUCGGAUUGACUGGAGCAGGUGACCAUCCUGGCCCCCGAAGAUGGACGUUUGACCCGCCAAAACUUUAUUUCAUUCACUUGAGUUUUUAGCAACCUGUGGAUUGUCAUUGUCCCCUGAGGAAGUCGCUGAGAAUCACUUUAGACUCAUCAGGAUAAGAAAGUCAGAUUGACCGAAAAUGCAAAGCUGUGGUUUGUUUAUCGACGCAGGAUCCCAGUCUCGUGUGGUUGGUGUACAACAGGAGAUCCCAAGCCACCUCUGCUCAGGCUGGCUUCCCCAGCGCAGUGCCUGGACCUGGCUGGGACUCAAGAGAUGCUCAUGAACUAAACUCAGGCCGCUGCUGGGUCAAAGGGGAGACAGAGUCCUGAGCAAAUUCUGUCACACGGAGCUCUGGAAUGGUGGGGCCCUUUCUUGGGCUCACUGCUCUUUGCGGGCAUCAAAACAUGCGUGGAUCAUUUUUGUUUUCCCAAGAACAUGGUUACAGUAUCCAGACACAAGAAAAUGUGCAUGGCCUCCUUACCUCACCGUGGAAGAGAGAAGACACCUCGUCCUCUUAUCCUUCUAUCCUUCUGAAUCUCCCUGGAAAGGCCCACUUUGUUGCGGUGCUGGAAUGUGGAGGAGGAAGCCAGAGAAGCAAGACAUCACACUCGGAACCCGGCUGGUGCAGCACCCUGGGUCUGACACCCUCUCUGGGUGGAUUUGUGCCUCGCUCUUCAGAGUUGAGGCCUCUGUCCUCUUCCCUGGGGGUCAAGAGCCACAGGGAGGUGUGAAGCCAAGAGCAGGCAGCCAGGGGUCCGAGGGCAGCCUGAGUAGAGGCUGACCCCAGUCUGCAGGAGGCGGGAGUGCUGUGACCCCUCUCCUCACAGAGCAGGGACUCUUCUGGAACUCUGCAGAGGCAAGCUUCCCCUUGAUCUCUGGCUGACACGCUGUCUCUUUCUCUCCUUCCCCAGCGCUGGGCCCCUCCCCAGGCCCAAAGGCCCAGAUACUUCUACUGGGGGCUCCUUCAUUUAUAUUUGCAUCAAGCGGCACAUUAAGGCUGUGGAUUGUUGGAAGAAUCUUUGGGCCAGGACUAGAGACGUGAUCACAUUUGUUCCCAAAAUGAGAGGGAGAACAGAAUCUCAGAGGGCAGACGGGAGGGGCCAACCUUAGGUGUCCCCAAGUUUCCAGGCUUGUCCUGGCUCAGUGGUCAUCCAGAACCACCCCGAGCCCAGGAAGUUUGAGCCACGUUCCUUGGGCUCACUGGCAGACGGUGCUGAGGGUGGAGAAAGACCCACAAGUCCCCUGGGAAGAGUGAGGGACUUUCCUGGAAGUGUGGGAACAGGUCCUGCUCCCCUUCCCACCCUUACCGACCUCAGCCCCACAAGCUCUGCAGCUCAGCUCUCAGGCUGGUGAGGAAUUUCCAGGUGGUGGAGCUUAGAGCUGCCUUGUCUGUUCAGCACACAUUGUCAGAAGAGAGGGGAGUAGUUUCCGGCUCAUUUCCAUGACUGAGCUAAAAGAAAACUGCUUAUUCGUAUUGACCACUUUCUCAGCUAUAGGACAUCUAAGAAAACAACACACCAUCCGAAACACAAUGCACUGGCUGAUUUAUUGGGAGCACACCACAAAUGGCCAAUAUCUGUGAGUCUGGGCUUCCUCGCUCUGCCUGAGGUCCAAGAAAUCAUGACCGUGUUUGUGUCCGCAUCUUCAUUCGGCUCUGCCACCAUUCCCGGUACUCCUCUGGUUCUCUAGAGAACGAACGCUUCCAGGAGCAGCCUCUGUUCUCUAGGUAAGCGCCACCGGCUUCUCCCCACUGCUGGGAACCAGGGCCUAAAACACAAGGCCAGGGAACUUUCCAUCACUAGCAAACAUCCACGGGCCGUCAGCUGAGGAGGAGGAGCAGUUUUUAUCCAGCUCAGAGUUCCGGAGGAUGCCGUCCUUGGUGGCUGGCCUGUGGUUCUGGGCCUGUGGAAAGGCAGGACAUCAGGGCUGGACGUGCAGGCAGAGAAAGCUGCCUAAGGUACCACCACCUCCCAGUAGAGCCACAGGCGGGGACAGCCUGCAGUCUGUGGCCCUCGGGGUCGCUUAUCCAACUGCAGCAAAUGCUGUGCAAAUGCUGCCGUUCACGUGACAGGCUGCGCUUUCCCGGGAAGCAGGAGCCGGUCCCAGGCCACGACCUUUCAGAUUCUCAGAAGUGGCCGUCGGAGCCCUGCUCGCCCGGCAGGGGCUCACCGCCUGUCCGUGUUCUCCUUGGAGUCGUUGGAAGCUUCACAGGACGCAGCAGAUUAACGAAUCGCUCGCUCUGACCUUCCUCUGGGCCUCGGUUUCAUCCCUUUUUAGAAUAAAUUACCCAAUGAGCUCCAAAUCAUGUUGGGGUUUUCAUAACUUUUGAUAGCUAACGUAUCUUCCUGGCCAUACCUACAGAUCACACAUACAUGGUACGAGCUAAACUAGAAUGUGUUGGAUAUACGUGCAUCGUGUGCUGCUUCUUGAAAACCAGAGCAGAGGACUGCUUGGGAACACACCACCGGUCAGCGUCUGUGACGGAAGUCAUGUCCUUAGAAGUUACUGGAAAUAGGACAUGCCUGGAAUUUUGGCUGGAGUUUCCCAUUCUGGGCCUGCUGUGGUCUGAAACUCCUGUUCCCCCUGAGUUCAUAAGUUGGAGUCCUAAGCCCACGACGUGGUAUGAGGCUGUGUCCUUUGGAGAAGAUCAGGUCAGGAAGGGACCCACAUAAACGGGAUUGGUGCCUGAGAGCUGCCCGUCCUGGCCAGCUGAGGCCAUGGCCAGAGGUGCCGUCUGUGGACCAGGAAGCCACCCUCGUGGGGAACUGACUCCACGGGCACCUGGGUCCUGGACUCCCCAACUCAGGAACUGCGAGAAACGAACCUCCUUUGUUCAUCGGCUGCCCCAUUUAUGGUUCUAGUGUCAUGGGAGCCCAAACGGACUGAGAGGAAGUCCUCGUUCAUGGGAAAAGGCAGCCAUGGGUCCCGAAGGAAGUCAGGAACGCGUGUUAGCCGGUUGGCUGGCCCCGGACAUCGCAGGCAGGCCGGGCGGCUCAGCCUCGGGGCGCAGGCGGGCUCCAGAUCACCUCUCCCCCACUUCUCUCCCUCUCGUGGUUACUGACAGGGGGUGUGAGCUGCUUCCCAGGCGCUGCUGACAGACGUGGGGCUUCCCAGAGACACCCAU